rnacentral:rRNA from 1 species
GUGGGGAAUCUUGCGCAAUGGGCGAAAGCCUGACGCAGCCAUGCCGCGUGAAUGAUGAAGGUCUUAGGAUUGUAAAAUUCUUUCACCGGGGACGAUAAUGACGGUACCCGGAGAAGAAGCUCCGGCUAACUUCGUGCCAGCAGCCGCGGUAAUACGAAGGGGGCUAGAGUUGCUCGGAAUUACUGGGCGUAAAGGGCGCGUAGGCGGACAGCUUAGUCAGAGGUGAAAGCCCAGGGCUCAACCUUGGAAUUGCCUUUGAUACUGGCUGUCUUGAGUUUGGGAGAGGUGAGUGGAACUCCGAGUGUAGAGGUGAAAUUCGUAGAUAUUCGGAAGAACACCAGUGGCGAAGGCGACUCACUGGCCCAAUACUGACGCUGAGGCGCGAAAGCGUGGGGAGCAAACAGGAUUAGAAACCCUGGUAGUCC